ACGCUCGACACCUACGGGAGGCAGCAGUGGGGAAUAUUGCACAAUGGGGGAAACCCUGAUGCAGCGAUGCCGCGUGAAGGAAGAAGUAUCUCGGUAUGUAAACUUCUAUCAGCAGGGAAGAAAAUGACGGUACCUGACUAAGAAGCCCCGGCUAACUACGUGCAAGCAGCCGCGGUAAUCUGAGCGGGCUGGCAAGGC
rnacentral:rRNA from 1 species